AGCCGGAGCCGCGCGCGCCGCACGACGCGAACGGUGGCAACCACUUCGCCAACCCCGUGUACGAGAGCAUAUACUCCCCGCAGGACGCCAACCCCACGGAGGAGCGCGCCAACUUGCUGCAGGAGAGCUCUCCGGCGCGCCUCUAGUGCGCUAACUGCGCUGCGCUGCGCCGGCGCAGCCUUUAAAUAAAAUACUUCACUAAUAUCAGCAACAAGUACAACGUCUUCUAAUAGUUUUAUAAACUUCUAUGUUUUUAAAUUAUAUUCAUUCUUCAUUAAAUUCGAUUGUAUAAUCGUUCGCUGAAACUUUUUCACAAAUUGUUUAUUCAUAAUUCUAACAGAGUGAUAAGAGUUUCGUGCAACUUGUUGUUUUUAAAAACAAAUAUUACGAUUAAAAGACUUGAAUGAAAAAAUACUUUACUAAUGUUCAACAUUUUAGUACAUAAUUGAUUAGGUAAAUAUAAGAUUAGAUAGUUCGACUUAGUUCCACGAGAACUGCGCAGAAGCACGUGUAUCUGCAGAACGGUAACAAAACUCGUUAUUGAAAGUUGCGCAAAUUAUCGCACAAUUUAUAUGAUUUUUUAAAAAAUUUAGACCAAUUAUUACAAAGUUGACAUUUUUAAUUUAAUUAAGACAUACGAUAGUAGUCUAAGGUCACUGAAACAUUAAGAAACAAAUACAUCUACCAUGUGUGAUAUAGCAUAUGUCACUGGACCUUAUUUUCUAGAAAUUGACAAUUUCUCUUGAUGUCAAUUUAUUUUUUAAGCUCGUACAUAUCGUUUACAAAUGAUGUACAUUAAUUCGUGCAGCUCUUUGGGCUUUAAGUUUAGGUUUAAGUACAUAUCUGUUUUAUGUAAAAUUAGAUCUCGACUAAAACUUUUUAUUUCAAUUAAUUUAAGCCUCCCGCAGACGCUCAUAACUGAACUGUUUCGUCUGUAGCGAGCUUUGGAUAAAAACGUUUUUAACAUGAAUUAAAUGGUUAAAAUAUGAAUAGUAACAAUUUAACUCUUUACAAAACACUAUUGCAUUAAUAUAAUAAGCCAGUACAAGUAGUUUUAUGUUAAUUUAAGCGCAGAGAAUUGAUUAAAAAGUCUACAAAUCUGUGCCAUUUUGUAUUAAUUUUAGGAGUUUAUUGUUCUUACCAUUUAUCGCAGGUGAUGAUUAGAGAUUUCUUUGUAUUUUGAUGCAUUAUUUGAUGAAUAUAUUUGUGAUAUUUUUUUUGUAAAUAAAUGAUAUACCAUCAUUUAUGUGCCAACACAACUUCGUGCAUUCGAACUGUCUCCCGCAGGCCUAAUUUACAAAUGUUUUAAACUUUAUUUUAUAAAUGAUAUAGUUUUGUAUAAUGAUUUGAAGUUAAAUUCUUGACGUCUCAUAUAUUUAUGUAAUAAGAAAUGUGUUUGUGAGGAUAUCUGUGAAACUCAACAAUAAAUGUAUUGAAGUAAA